UGUUGAUAGCUGCUUGUAAGGGGAAACGUGAGUCAGGUGGUUCCAGAAUAGAAAUGUGGAAAAAUACCAGCGGCCCCUUAUUGAACAGCCUUCAGACCGAGGCCAGAUAACAGGACAUAACCUCACCACUGGCUGCCUUCGUGCUUGCACAGCUUGAAAAGAGAUAAAGUGCAUGUUUCACUUAAGACGACAUUUGUGUGACAUUUUGUUCCUGCUUCGCCAGCUCCACCCUAUUUAAGUCUCUGCUAAUGGUAGAAGUUGGCUUUGAUUUUGGAAACUUCUUCUGGCUACAAAAACACAAUAUUACAUUGAAGACACCUGAAUGUUCUCUCGCUGCACAGCAUGGCUGCUCUGUGAAAAACUGGCACCAACACGGGAAACUGACAAAGUGUGUAGGAGAAAUUGUGAGAGAGACUGUCCACAAAGUGCUGUCAAAUGCAGAGAGAUCCCACUGGAGAGUAAAAGUGGAGAAACGCUUUUUAUCUCGAGGGCCCUGAUCCUGUGGACACAUCAGUCGCUUUACUCGUACAUGCUGCCACCUGAACUGGAGAUCCAAACUGAGGAAUCGCUAGGAGCACAAACAGAGAGUGAGAUUGCAGGUGGAGACUGUCUUUAAGUUAUGACAUAUUAAAUAUCUGAGUGUGGGUCUGUCUGUUUCGCUGUUAUAAUUAAAACCCAGUUCUCUGAGUUCAGCAUUAUAAACAUGAGAGUUCUGUGUUAUAAAUAUGAAAGCCUGAAAUCUCCUCUUUUCUCCUU